UACGUAGGGUGCGAGCGUUAAUCGGAAUUACUGGGCGUAAAGCGUGCGCAGGCGGUUAUGCAAGACAGAUGUGAAAUCCCCGGGCUCAACCUGGGAACUGCAUUUGUGACUGCAUAGCUAGAGUACGGUAGAGGGGGAUGGAAUUCCGCGUGUAGCAGUGAAAUGCGUAGAUAUGCGGAGGAACACCGAUGGCGAAGGCAAUCCCCUGGACCUGUACUGACGCUCAUGCACGAAAGCGUGGGGAGCAAACGAGG
rnacentral:rRNA from 1 species